UACGGAGGGGGCUAGCGUUAUUCGGAAUUAUUGGGCGUAAAGCGCACGUAGGCGGAUCUGCAAGUCAGAGGUGAAAUCCGAGGGCUCAACGUUGGAACUGCCUUUGAAACUGUGGGUCUUGAGUUCGAGAGAGGUGAGUGGAAUUCCGAGUGUAGAGGUGAAAUUCGUAGAUAUUCGGAGGAACACCAGUGGCGAAGGCGGCUCACUGGCUCGAUACUGACGCUGAGGUGCGAAAGCGUGGGGAUCAAACAGG
rnacentral:rRNA from 1 species